rnacentral:rRNA from 1 species
AACAUCGCCUCCUGCAAAAAUCAAUGUAUAGGAGGUCCUGCCUGCCCAGUGACAACUUGUUAAACGGCCGCGGUAUUUUGACCGUGCUAAGGUAGCGCAAUCACUUGUCUUUUAAAUGAAGACCUGUAUGAAUGGUGGAACGAGGGCUUAACUGUCUCCCUUCUCCCGUCAAUGAAAUUGAUCUACCCGUGCAGAAGCGGGUAUAUAUAUACAAGACGAGAAGACCCUUUGGAGCUUAUUGGGGCGACCGCGGGGGAGAACAAAGCCCCCACGUAAAACCGAGAGAGACAUCUCUAAGCCACAGAACAUCUGACCAAAAGAUCCGGCCCACAAGCCGAUCAACGAACCAAGUUACCCUAGGGAUAACAGCGCAAUCCUUUCCAAGAGUUCAUAUCGACGAGAGGGUUUACGACCUCGAUGUUGGAUCAGGACAUCCUAAUGGUGCAGCCGCUAUUAAGGGUUCGUUUGUUCAACGAUUAAAGUCCUACGUGAUCU